UGAUGUGACACUUCAAUUUGUUUGCACUGAUGAUCAAUUAGCUGAUAUCUUCACAAAACCCUUGAGUGAAGAGAGAUUUAGUGUGCUUAGGAGAGGAUUAGGAAGUGAUUGAUCCAUCCUAGUGAUAUUCUCUUCCAGUUCAUUGAUUUUGAUGAUUAGCUUGUGUUAAAUAUGGAGUUUCUCAUUUAUAAUCAUCAAAUCAGAUCAUAACUUAGUGAUUGUCCCUUGGUUGGUACGAAAAUAGCAUGAUUUUUAGGUGUGUGCCAGAGUUCGAGUCGACUCGAGUAAGUUUCAGAGUCGGCUCAUAAGGGGGAGUCGACUCGCACAUAGACGGAAGUCGACUCGAGGUCGAUGGCAGCAUAGGGGGAGUCGACUCGCGCAUAUUUUGGAGUCGACUCGAGGUCGAGUCGACUCGCGACUAACUGGAGUCGACUCGCGGUCGGGAUCCGAGUUUUUUAACCCUAAUCCAAGCGUUUAAUCAACACUUCUAUUCAUCGCCUCCACUAUUCACAAAACCCUAGAGCCAUCUCCGACAUCGUCUCCGACCCUGGUUAGAGUUUUUCCGUCGACCUUCUUCCGUCCAUUAGGGUUUUACCCCAUUCCUAGGUCAACCAUGCCCCGUAAGUCGGUUGUCCCAAGCCGGAAGAGGCCCCAACCCGCGAGCGGCACCGAGCGACGGUCCAAGGCUCGGAACAAUCCCGUGAGGCCACAACCUCCGGUUCGUUCCCCGCCGAGGCCGGUUCCCUCGCAUCCGUGCGCCGGGAAGGCGGUCUCCACCGGGAGAUAUGUCAACUUCGACUAUCUCUCCCGGGAAGGCUUUACCAUAGGGGAUAGGUUGAGGGCCCAAGGCCUAGAGUUCUUUUGUUCUCUAGAUCUCCCCACAUACCCAGGGCUAGUUAGGAAGUUCUAUGGUACAGUGUCUAGGGAGAAUGGUGGGAUACAGGGAACCGUAGCGGGU
rnacentral:lncRNA from 1 species